rnacentral:rRNA from 1 species
AUGCAGUCGACGGGCUCUUCGGAGCAAGUGGCGGACGGGUGAGUAACGCGUGAGAAUGUGCCUUCAGGAUGGGGAUAACAAUAGGAAACUAAUGCUAAGACCCAAUGUGCCUUAAGAGGUGAAAAAUGAAAAUUGCCUGAAGAGGAGCUCGCGUCUGAUUAGCUAGUUGGGGUGGUAAAAGCGCACCAAGGCAACGAUCAGUAGCUGGUCUGAGAGGAUGAGCAGCCACACUGGGACUGAGACACGGCCCAGACUCCUACGGGAGGCAGCAGUGGGGAAUUUUCCGCAAUGGGCGAAAGCCUGACGGAGCAAUACCGCGUGAGGGAGGAAGGCUCUUGGGUUGUAAACCUCAAAACUUAGGGAAGAAAAAAAUGACGGUACCUAAUCUAAGCAUCGGCUAACUCCGUG